UACGAAGGGUGCAACCGUUGCUCGGAAUCACUGGGCGUAAAGCGCACGUAGGCGGACUCUUAAGUCGGUGGUGAAAUCCUGGAGCUCAACUCCAGAACUGCCUUCGAUACUGGGAGUCUCGAGUUCGGGAGAGGUGAGUGGAACUGCGAGUGUAGAGGUGAAAUUCGUAGAUAUUCGCAAGAACACCAGUGGCGAAGGCGGCUCACUGGCCCGAUACUGACGCUGAGGUGCGAAAGCGUGGGGAGCAAACAGG
rnacentral:rRNA from 1 species